rnacentral:rRNA from 1 species
GUUUCCUAGCCAUGCCAUUCUGAAUGUGCCUGAGCUCAUCUGACCUCGGAAGCUAAGCAGGGCGGGGCCUGGUUAGUACUUGGACGGGAAACCACCUUGGAAUACCAGGUGCUGUAGGCA